rfam:Rahnella aquatilis CIP 78.65 = ATCC 33071, complete genome.
AUUUCUCUGAGAUGUUCGCCAGCGGGCCCGUCCCCUGAGCCGAUAAUUAGUACCAACAGAAUGUGAUGAUCCGUAAUCGGUGCGCAUGCUCGGCCCGUCCGAGAAGCCUAAAGAUUGCGACAGCACGUUCACCUUGAACCAUGGGUUCAAGGGUUACAGCCUGCGACGGCAUCUCGGAGAUUCC